GAUGAAGAACGUAGCGAAAUGCGAUACGUAAUGUGAAUUGCAGAAUUCAGUGAAUCAUCGAAUCUUUGAACGCACAUUGCGCCCCUUGGUAUUCCAUGGGGCAUGCCUGUUCGAGCGUCAUUUGUACCUUCAAGCUCUGCUUGGUGUUGGGUGUUUGUCUCGCCUCUGCGUGUAGACUCGCCUUAAAACAAUUGGCAGCCGGCGUAUUGAUUUCGGAGCGCAGUACAUCUCGCGCUUUGCACUCAUAACGACGACGUCCAAAAGUACAUUUUUACACUCUUGACCUCGGAUCAGGUAGGGAUACCCGCUGAACUUAAGCAUAUCAAUAAGCGGAGGA
rnacentral:misc_RNA from 1 species